AGUCGCCACUGCUUGCAGAUCCCUUGAAUCAGCUCGAAUAAUGGACCAUCCUCCCGGUUUGUAGAACAUAUUUCCGCUUCAUGUUUUUGCUAUGCAAAGUUGCAAACCCGUUUAAAUGUAAAAGCUGAACUUUAUUGUGUAGGUACCAGUUCUUGUGAAAUAUUAUGUUGAAUACCAAAUAUUUAGAGACUAGCUUAGAAAAUUUAGGCUGGAUGCCUAGAUUUUUCCAAGAUUAAGUGAUUUUGUUAUCUUCAGAUUCCUUUGGAAUGGAGGGAUUGCAUGGAUUAACAGCCAGAUAAAGUCUGGGCUUUCUUCAUUGCCAUCCAAAUUCAUUCACAUGGAGAACUUCACAACAAUUAAAGUAACUAUGUUGGUCAAGUUAUAACCACCAGGGUACAGAAAUAGUUAAUUUUGGAGAGUACCUUGCUUUUCUGUUGCAGAAUUUUUGGUUUGCAAUAAGCAUGCUAUUUGGGUUCAUUCGUUCGAUUGCAAUCCAUGAUGCUUUCUGUUCGAUUCGGCAAUCCCGAUUCAAUUAAUCCUUGUGUUAUUGGGUGGGUUGGAAGCCAGUGUCAACUCAGUGGAUAAAUUUUAUUGGAAAUACAAAGACAAUAUUGCUACUGUAGUUGUAGCAAUGGAAGGAGUGGGGUGUUGAUAUUAGAGCAUUUUAAUGGCGAAAAGAGGGUUUUGUAGAAUGUUUUAUCAAAACCUUCCUUUUUGUUUGACUGUUUAGUUUUUACUUGGUUUCCAAGUCCCUCCACUUGCCUUUGCAAGUGAUAAUGAAUUCAUUCAAUAAUUCAACUAUCAAGUAUUGAAAGGAAAAUUUUUUUAGCAAUGGUCACGAGGAUUAAAUUUGUGACUUAGCCUUUACUGUUAAGGACUCGGUGGUAAUGGUAUGCAUCAGUUUGCUGCACGCAGUCUAUGGAUCUGGUGUUAUGCUAAAAUGUAGACUCAAGACCUGGGGUGGAACUGCAAGAAGAAGACUUAAAUAAUUUAAUUGUUUAACAGCCAGGUGCAAUUUCUUCUUCAUUGCUGUAUAACACAACAAACGGUUUUUGUUUACGGUCAGCCGGUUCAAGGUGUCGUCAAAACUCAAAUCAAGCUCAGCUGUUGCAUGGAGGAUGUGAUGCCGGUGUUAUCCUAGAGGGUGUUGGUGUUCUGGCAAAAAUUGUUCUGCUUGUUUGUAAUUAGAGUAUUAUUUGAAGUAGUCAAUGAUGUUUGUCUGUUUGUCUUUUUCUUUUCUGUCCCCAACUAACUAACCACAGCUGGUGGUUACUGGUCAUUCACCCGCUGUGAAAUAGGGAGGGAUUAGGAGGGUUUUAGUUGAAUGGGGACUUGGAAGGGGUAUGUUCUGAUUAAAACUUUUUGAGAGUUAUGAGUGUAACCCGGAAGUCUACUACGAUUAAUUGUUCCCUAGCAAACUGGCCUAUAAUAACGUCAAUGCGACUGUUAAUAGUUAUAGGCCUACU